CGCACCUUGCGCUCCUUGGUAUUCCGAGGAGCAUGCCUGUUUGAGUGUCAUGAAAUCUUCAACCUAUAAGCCUUUGCGGGUUUAUAUGGCUUGGACUUGGAGGCUUUGUCGGCUUUAAUAAGUCGGCUCCUCUUAAAUGCAUUAGCUUGGUUCCUUGCGGAUCGGCUGCCAGUGUGAUAAUUGUCUACGCUGCGACCGUGAAGCGUUUGGCGAGCUUCUAACCGUCUUGUUAAUGAGACACUAUUAUGACCUCUGACCUCAAAUCAGGUAGGACUACCCGCUGAACUUAA
rnacentral:misc_RNA from 1 species